rnacentral:rRNA from 1 species
AUUGAACGCUGGCGGAAUGCUUUACACAUGCAAGUCGAACGGCAGCACGGGGGGCAACCCUGGUGGCGAGUGGCGAACGGGUGAGUAAUACAUCGGAACGUGCCCAGUCGUGGGGGAUAACUACGGGAAACCGUAGCUAAUACCGCAUACGAACUCUGGUUGAAAGCGGGGGAUCGCAAGACCUCGCGCGAUUGGAGCGGCCGAUGGCAGAUUAGGUAGUUGGUGGGGUAAAGGCUCACCAAGCCUUCGAUCUGUAGCUGGUCUGAGAGGACGACCAGCCACACUGGGACUGAGACACGGCCCAGACUCCUACGGGAGGCAGCAGUGGGGAAUUUUGGACAAUGGGCGCAAGCCUGAUCCAGCCAUUCCGCGUGC